CAGUCGCCGCGGUAAUACGAAGGGGGCUAGCGUUGUUCGGAUUUACUGGGCGUAAAGGGCGCGUAGGCGGACUGAUAAGUCAGGGGUGAAAUCCCAAGGCUCAACCUUGGAACUGCCUUUGAUACUGUUUGUCUUGAGUUCGAGAGAGGUAAGUGGAACUGCGAGUGUAGAGGUGAAAUUCGUAGAUAUUGCAAGAACACCAGUGGCGAAGGCGGCUUUCUGGACUGCAACUGACGCUGAGGCUCGAAAGCCAGGGGAGCGAACGGGAUUAGAUACCCCCGUAGUCCCUGUCUCUUAUACA
rnacentral:rRNA from 1 species